UACGGAGGGGGCUAGCGUUGUUCGGAAUUACUGGGCGUAAAGCGCGUGUAGGCGGCUGGUUAGGUGUGAUGUGAAAUCCUCGGGCUCAACCCGAGAACUGCAUUGCAAACCGGCCUGGCUAGAGUGCAGGAGAGGGAAGCGGAAUUCCAGGUGUAGCGGUGAAAUUCGUAGAUAUCGAGAGGAACACCGGUGGCGAAGGCGGCCUUCUGGACAGUGACUGACGCUGAGACGCGAAAGCGUGGGGAGCAAACAGG
rnacentral:rRNA from 1 species